GUCCCUUGAGGCCAUGUGGGCGGCGCCGCGCGGGGAGGGCGGCCGUAAUUAGGGGAGGUGGGAGCACUGAAGCUCCUUUCUGGCAGGAAUCCAGGGAAGAACCAGCCAGCACUGCCUCACCCCCAUCCUCAUGCUAAAGUGCACAUGAACAAAGGCCAAAUGCCACAAGGACAAAUUUUUAGGGGAAAUUUUGUCUCAGCAGCCCUCGAGUGUUUUGGAACAUGCAUCAAAGCCAACAUAGCUGCAAAAAGUCUCUUACUUGUUAUGUGGUAGCCUGGAGCACACAGUCCUCAAGUCAUCUGAAAGAAGAUACAACAUUAAAAAUAAGAAUAAAACAGAAAUAGAAAAAAAAAACAGAAUAAAACAGAAUAAAACAG